GCAGUCGUGGCCGAGUGGUUAAGGUGAUUGACUAGAAAUCCAUUGGGGUCUCCCCGCACAGGUUCGAAUCCUGUCGACUGCG
rnacentral:tRNA from 2 species